AUGCAGGACAAGGAUGACACAGGCACCGUGCACGCGCGCCUAGCCCGGGGCGCCCGGCUCGGUCUUCUGGCCGAGCCGCUCCCGCACUCCGUGUGGGGCCGCUGUCCCCGCCUGGCCGUGGGUAACGGAGCCGCCGGGCGGCGACCCGGGCCCCCCCGUGGGUGCGGGCGACGUCUCCGCGGCCGGCAUCCCCCGAGGCCGCGCCCUGGCCACGAUCGACCCGGUGAAGCCGCGCCCGACAGCGCGCCGGACUUCUUCUCGCACCACGAGUCCCUGUGCGCGCUGCAGGACUCGCUGCCGCUGCCUCCGCGAGGGCGUGCUGCACUUCAACGCCCACCGCCUCCGCGUCGUGGACUGGGCGCCGCUGCUCAGCACCCUCAAGAUUAAUAAAGACCUGCCCUUGAUCUCCAUCAAGAGCUUCUUCCAGCCGUGGCUUGGGGAAACAGGUUCUGACAUAAAUAAAGUUUGCAGAAGUCGCGUUCCUGCCAUAAGAUUCAAAGAUGUGACCUUCCAGUUAUGUAAAGCUCUUAAAGGCUGUUUAAGUAUAUCAAGUGUGCUAAAGAACCUGGAGCUAAAUGGACUAGUUCUGAGAGAGAGAGAUUUAACUGUUUUAACAAAGGGAUUGAAUAAAUCGGCUUCUUUGGUGCACCUGUCUCUUGCAAAUUGUCCAAUUGGAGAUGGAGGUUUAGAAAUUAUUUGUCAAGGUAUAAAGAGCUCUAUCCCUCUUCAGACAGUCAACUUCACGGGGUGUAAUCUGACAUGGCAGGGAGCAGAUCACAUGGCCAAGAUCUUAAAGUAUCAGACCAUGAAAAGACAUGAAGAAACCUGGGCUGAGAGUCUUCGCUAUAGGAGACCUGAUCUUGACUAUAUGGCUGGCUUAAGGCGUAUCACACUGAACUGCAACACGCUGAUUGGUGACGUAGGUGCAAGUACUUUUGCAGACUCACUCAGUGAGGGUUUAUGGCUGAGAGCACUUGACCUGCAACAGUGCGGCCUGACCAAUGAAGGAGCAAAUGCUUUACUGGAGGCCCUUGAAACCAACAGAACUCUCAUUGUUCUGGAUAUAAGAAAAAAUCCACUCAUCAAUCAUUCUAUGAUGAAAGCAGUUAUCAAAAAAGUUGUCCAGAAUGGAAGGAGUGCUAAGUCAGAGUACCAAUGGAUAACUUCUCCAACAGUGAAGGAAUCAUCGAAAACUGCUAGACAGAAAAAGAAAACUAUAAUUCUAGGAAGUGGUCGAAAAGGAAAAGCUACUUUUAGAAUUGGAUUUGCUUCAAAGAAACCUGUAAGUAGUGGAAACAAACACUCCCUUGGUAAAGAACACUAUGCUCCUAUACCUCUACCACCUGGUGCAUCUGGUUUCUUGCCGUGGCGUACUGCAGAACGUGCAAAAAGGAACAGGGGCUUUCCAUUGAUCAAAACUCGUGAUAUACAUAAUCAGUUGCAGCAACCAGGUUUUCCUGUGACUGUGACAGUAGAGAGUCCUUCAUCCUCAGAAAUCGAAGAGGUUGAUGAUUCUUCAGAAAGUGUUCAUGAAGUGCCUGAGAAAACCAGUGUAAAACAAGAAGCAUUACAGGAAAAACUGGAAGAGUGCCUGAAGCAGUUAAAGGAGGAAAGAGUGAUAAGGCUUAAGGCUGAUAAACGAGUCAGUGAGCUGGAACAUGAAAAUGCCCAGUUAAGAAAUAUAAAUUUCUCUUUGUCUGAAGCCCUUCAUGCACAGUCAUUGACAAGCAUGAUCCUGGAGGAUGAAGGUGUUUUGGGCAGCAUUGAGAAUUCUUUUCAGAAGUUCCAUGCUUUCUUGGAUCUCCUUAAGGAUGCUGGGCUGGGGCAGCUUGCCACAAUGGCUGGUAUAGAUCAGUCAGAUUUUCACUUACUAGGUCAUCCCCAGAUGAAUUCUACUGUUAGCAGUCUACCUAAAGAAGAAAAGAAGGCCAUUGAAGAAGAAAAACCAGAACCAAAGCAGAAUGCCCUAGGAAAAAUGGAAAAUAUCCAAGUUUCUAUUUGUAUGCAGUCAGCUUACAAUGAAGGAACACUAAUGAAGUUUCAGAAAAUUACAGGCGAUGCUAGAAUUCCUUUGUCUCUCCACUCCUUCCCUGUACCAGUUUCUACUCAGGAAGCCUUAGUAAAUUCCAGAGACAGCCUGGGAGUCCCAGCCACCGAGCAGCAGCAGGAGCCUUUCGAAGAUAUCAUUUCUAGAACAAGUUCUUUAGCAGAUGUGAUUUCUGGAACUGAAAGUCAAAGAAAAGAAGAGGAGUUUUCCAGAAAGAGCAAAUCUUCUCCAGAGAAAAUGACCAAAACAGAAUCUCAUUGAAAUGGCUGGAGAAAUACUAAAAAUAAAUUAAGAGCAGAGUUGGAAAACCAGAAAUUGAACAAUGUGGAAAUUCUAGAAGAUAAAGAGGAGAUUACUGAAGGACCAAUUAGUUAAAGAGUGGAACAGCUAAGCCAUUGCACUUAUCUUUGGAGCAUCUAGUUCUGGAAAUUUGCCACCAGGCUAAGAAAGUGGCUGUCUGAAGGGGGAGUACUGACUCAGGAAACAACGGGAUUGGAGAAUAAGGGCAUUAUCCAAAACAACUACAAGGAGGAACUGCAGUUAAGCUACCCACAUUCUCUCUUUGGCUGUGUUGACAUGCUACUCCCCUUUAUAAUCACAAGAGGUGCCUAUAAUCAGAACGUGGAAUCAUGGAAAAUGAACCAGAAUUGAAAUUUGGUUGAAGAAAAGAACUUCAAACUUUGCUCUUAGGCCUAAUCUAUAAAUAUGGAAAGCUAAGAACCAUCAAGUUUGAAGAAAACCAGUAACAUAAAAGUAGGUCCAGGCAUGGUGGCUUAUGCCUGUAAUCCUAGCACUCUG